UUCCUUGUAGCGCAAAGAACAGCGCGUUGGACUUCCAAUCCAAAAAUCGUACGUUCGAAUCUUACCUGGGGUG